AUUGAACGCUGGCGGCAGGCUUAACACAUGCAAGUCGAACGAGUGGCGGACGGGUGAGUAAUGCUUGGGAAUCUGGCCUGUGGAGGGGGAUAACGACGGGAAACAGUCGCUAAUACCGCAUACUAUAGGAUGAGCCCAUGUGGGAUUAGCUAGUUGGUGGGGUAAUGGCCAACCAAGCCAACGAUCCCUAGCUGGUCUGAGAGGAUGACCAGCCACACCGUGACUUAGACACGGCCCAGACGCCUACGGGAGGCAGCAGUGGGGAAUUUUGGACAAUGGGGGCAACCUGAUGCAGCCAUGCCGCGUGAAUGAAGAAGGCCUUCGGGUUGUAAAGUUCUUUUGGUAAAGAAGCGUUAAUCGCAGAAGAAGCACCGGCUAACUCCGUGCCAGCAGCCGCGGUAAUUC
rnacentral:rRNA from 1 species